AGGGCAGAACUGCAAUGAAGGCCCAUUUCCAGGGUACCAGGUAAGGAGCACGUGGUAGAUACAGAUGGAAAGUUGUCAGAGCAGUGGCAGGAGAUCAAAGAGAUCAGAAGAGCA